UGGACAAUGGGCGCAAGCCUGAUCCAGCAAUGCCGCGUGUGUGAAGAAGGCCUGAGGGUUGUAAAGCACUUUCAGUGGGGAGGAAGGCCUCGGCGUUAAUAUCGUCGAGGAUUGACGUUACAUACAGAAGAAGCACCGGCUAACUCUGUUCCAGCAGCCGCGGUAAUACAGAGGGUGCAAGCGUUAAUCGGAAUUACUGGGCGUAAAGGGCGCGUAGGUGGUUAAUUAAGUCAGAUGUGAAAUCCCCGGGCUUAACCUGGGAAUUGCAUUUGAAACUGAUUGGCUAGAGUACGGGAGAGGGAAGUGGAAUUUCCGGCGUAGCGGUGAAAUGCGUAGAUAUCGGAAGGAACACCAGUGGCGAAGGCGACUUCCUGGCCCGUUACUGACACUGAGGCGCGAAAGCGUGGGGAGCGAACA
rnacentral:rRNA from 1 species